rnacentral:rRNA from 1 species
UACGUAGGUGGCAAGCGUUGUCCGGAUUUACUGGGCGUAAAGAGCGCGCAGGCGGUCGAGUAAGUCGAAUGUGAAAGCCCCCGGCUUAACUGGGGAGGGUCAUUCGAUACUGUUCGACUUGAAGGCAGGAGAGGGCAGCAGAAUUCCCGGUGUAGUGGUGAAAUGCGUAGAUAUCUGGAGGAACACCGGUGGCGAAGGCGGCAUCCUGGACCAACACUGACGCUGAGGAGCGAAAGCCAGGGGAGCAAACGGG